ACGAUUUACUUUUACUAGCAAGGUUAAGCACUUCAGGUGCGGAUCCGUAGCGAAAGCGAGUCUGAAUAGGGCGACGUAGUUAGUAGUAGUAGACGCGAAACCCGGUGAUCUACCCAUGAGCAGGUUGAAGUUCCAGUAACAUGGAAUGGAGGACCGAACCCGUUGACGUUGAAAAGUCUUGGGAUGACUUGUGGGUAGGGGUGAAAGGCCAAUCAAAC
rnacentral:rRNA from 1 species